rnacentral:rRNA from 1 species
GACGAACCGUGCGAACGUUGUUCGGAAUCACUGGGCAUAAAGGGCGCGUAGGCGGCUUAUCAAGUCAGGGGUGAAAUCCGGCAGCUUAACUGUCGAAGUGCCCUUGAUACUGAUGAGCUCGAGGGAGAUAGGGGUGGUGUGGAACUUCCGGUGGAGCGGUGAAAUGCGUUGAUAUCGGAAGGAACGCCGGUGGCGAAAGCGACACACUGGAUCUCUUC